CCCAUUGGAUCCCAUUGGAUCCCGUACCUGCCUGUGCACCACCUUGGCGUGGCGCAGGAUGGCGAUGACGUCGCCCACCACGGUGAUGCCCAACUCCUUCAUCAGCUCCCUGGUCAGGUCCAGCAGCAUGUUCUUGUGGAUCCUGCGGGGGGGAAGGGUGGGAUCCACUGGGAUCCACUCGGGGAUCCACCGAAAUCCACCCUGAUUCGUUCCGUUCUAUCUUAAACUGACUGAGAUCCACCAGGAUUCGAGGGAAAUUCACCCAAAUUUCCCUGGGAUCCACUCAGGGAUCCACCCCAGAUCCCCUCAGUUCUGCCUGGAUCCACUGAAAUUCACCCCAAUUUCCCCGGGAUCCACCCCCCAUUCCCAGGGGUCUCUGCUCCCCCAUUUUCAGGGGUCUGUCCUGGGGGUCUCUUCCCAUUUUUGGGGCUCUUCCCCCAUUCCUGGGGGUCUUUAGGGGGUCUCUCCCCCAUUUUUGGGGGUGUCUCCCCCAAUCCCAGGGGUCUCUUGUCCCCAUUUUUGAGGGUCUGUCCCCCAGUUUUUGGGGGGGGUCUCUCUCCUCAUUUUUGGGGGGUCUCUUUCCCUCAUUUUUGGGGGUUUCUCCCCCAUUUUUAGGGAUCUCUUCGCCCCCAUUUUCAGGGAUCUCUCUCCCCAUUCCCAGGGGUCCCUCUCCCCCAUUUUUGGGGGUCUCUUUUCUAUUCUCGGGGUUCUCUGCCCCCCAGUUUUUGGGGGUCUCUCUCAUUUUCAGGGGUCUGUCCUGGGGAUCUCUCCCCCAUUCCCAGGAGUCUCCCUCCCCAUUUUCGGGGCUCUCCCCAUUUCAGGGGUCAUUCCCCUAUUUUUGGGGGUCUCUCUCCAUUUUUGGGGGUCUGUUCCCCAGUUUUUGGGGGUCUCUCUCCCCAUUUUGGAGGGUCUCUCCCCCAUUCCCGAGGGUCUCUGCCCCUACAUUUUUGGGGGUCUGUCCCCACUUUUGGGGGUGUCUCCCCAUUUUGGGGUUCGCUCUCCCCAUUUUUGGGGUUCUCUUCCCCCAUUUUGGAGGUCUUUCCCCCCCAUUUUUAGGGAUCUCUCUCUCUCUCUCCAUUUUCAGGAAUUUCUC
rnacentral:lncRNA from 1 species